CUGAAAUAUACCGGUUCUCGUUAGAUCACCGAAUAAGCAUCAUUGGGCGCGGUCAGUACUUGGGUGGGUGACCACCUGGGAAAACGUGCCGUUG